UACGGAGGGUGCGAGCGUUGUCCGGAAUCACUGGGCGUAAAGGGCGCGUAGGCGGCCUGAUAAGUAGGGGGUGAAAUCCUGCGGCUUAACCGCAGGGCUGCCUUCUAAACUGUCAGGCUAGAGCACAGUAGAGGCAGGUGGAAUUCCCGGUGUAGCGGUGGAAUGCGUAGAGAUCGGGAAGAACAUCAGUGGCGAAGGCGGGUCUCUGGACAGUUCCUGACGCUGAGGCACGAAGGUCAGGGGAGCAAACGGG
rnacentral:rRNA from 1 species